CUCUCUGCGGAAGCCAGCCACCGCUCUCCAAGGACUCUCGAGCAGCUCCAUCUACAGAUUCACAUGGAGAAGAAUUAAGGGUUCCUGCCAAUCACCAGCACCACUUUGCCAGCCUUGUAAGUGGGCCACCUUGGAAUUGGAGCCUCCAGUUCCUACUGACAUCUGACUGCAACAUCAUGAGAGACCCUGAGUUUGAACCACCCAGCUGAGCUGCUUCUGAGCUAACCCACUGAAACCGUGAAAGUACCUGAAUGAAACAACACCCAGUAGCCACUAGCACACCUAGCUCCCAGAUCUGUUUUUGAUGCCAUUCUUCAGUAAAAGGAAGCAAGGCUGCUUGGAGAAAUUGCUAUCAAGGACUGGGGUAGAAAAUAUACAAGAUGAAAUUGGAGCAUCUUGUAGUGCUUGAAAACAGUUGGCAUCUGUGUGAAGAUGUGAAUGGAGGAGGCAGAGUAGGCAGUGAGUGCCGCAGCCACAGCUUGUGUUCUCUGCAGCCCUGGCACAGAAGAUAGGAACACUCAUGGGGGAUGCGGCCACUGUGAUGUCUUCCCACACAAGAAGUGCCAAGUGCUUUUCUCAUGCUUUUCUGGAUUGUCCCAUGGUGGACGAGUCAGCAGGAGUGAGAUGGAGCAGCACAGUAGAGGGGAUAUCGUUGUACAUAUUCUCAGCUAAGUGAGCACCAAUAGAGGAGAGGGAGAGUCUCAUGGAAGUUCCUUCUAAGCCUUUGGCUCUUUUUACCUUCAACAAGGUGUGCCACCUCUUUGAUCCAGCAAGUGGGAAGAACAGUCCCGGCCUCUUUGCACACAAGACCGUGAUACCAAUGCACCAUCACAGGCCCCACAGGGGAGCUGUCCGCUUCCCCACACAGCUGCUAGGGGCUCUUUUGCAUGUUCCCAACCUUUCCUGCCUUUAUCUGAUAUUCGUUCCUUAGAUCCUGGGAUGAGGAGGUGGACCAGCAGAAGGUGGGCUUGUGAAGGCAGCCCGGGGUCCAAAUCCUCCUGGCUCUUCAGCUUAGCGGGGUUGCUUAGACUCAGUGGUGUGCUGGAGCAGGCUCCUACCAGCUAGAAAGAACCAGUUCAAUACGUCUCUUCUCAACUCCAUGUUCAGAGUUGUCAGAGAACCAAUUGUUAAAUAUUUACUGGCACUCCACUGCUUAGAUUUUACCAGUGCUUGCAGUGCUAACCAGGAGCUCAUCCCUGGAGGAGAGGCAGAGAAUGUGUACUCCCAGAUGCAGCCAGCUUCCAGAAGAAGAGGUAGGAGCCAAGCAGAGCAUGCCCACAUCAAUCUUCCAGCAUUUAAUGGCCAUAGAAGUUACUGAACCUCCCUUGGAUGGAUAGAAGAUGGCAUUAUCUUUCUUAAAUAUGAUACCUCUUAUCUUUUUGUUCCCUUGACACUUGAGGAGGGAGGCCAAGGGUUGAUCAUGCAAGCAAGUUUGUGCAUUUUGCACAUUUAUUAAGUUAUGCUUUUGAGGAAAUUAAAAGAUCACAAGGGCUUCAA
ensembl:lncRNA LINC00658 long intergenic non-protein coding RNA 658